rnacentral:lncRNA from 1 species
CCUCACUGUCUUCAAGAUGCAAUUAGUGUUUGCCCAGCAGGGCCACUUUCUCAGGUGAUGCUUGUCUAAUGACAGGUGGGAGGUGUCACUCCCAGGAUGUCCACUCAAUGUAUGGCUCUUCCAGCCAAUGCCGUUUGCUGGGGGAACACUUUUAUCCAUUGCAAUAUUUUCCCUGGAGUAUGUUGCAUAUCUGAGCAGGAGAACAAUUCCCCCCGCUCUACAGUUCUAUACUUUCACCAAAAGGCAACACCGCCCUCCAAAUGAGCAGGACAGCGGGGGCUGGCACAGCUGACCUUGAUCCUUCCAGCUGGUGUCUUAUUGCUGCUUCUAGCCCAGCCUCCUCUCUGUUCUCUCACCUGGCCUCCUUUUUUUUGUGAUCAUUUAUUCCAUUACUUGAAAGAAAACAGCAGGACCUGGAAACUCGAGUCCAGUCGUGCUGCUGGACUCCUGUCCUGCGCUGUGGUCUCUUUUGAUCUCAGUUUCUUUCUCACUCUUACAAAUGUGGCAGCUGAGAAGCCCGAGGAAUCUGAAAUAAAGCAAGGAUUGUACGAGGACACGGGCGUCAGUGUGAGAAGCCAGUGCGUCUCUGUGCACCACUACCUGACCUCACGGUGGCUACCCUUGCCGAAGUCACAACCUCCCACCGCAAUCUGAAGUCUUUAC